ensembl:snRNA U6 U6 spliceosomal RNA
UAGCUUCAGCAGCACCUGUGCACAAACUGGAAUGGUACAGAGAACAUUAGCAUGGCCCCUGAGCAAGGAAGUACGAAAGUCUACAACCAACAACCAUAACUCCU